rnacentral:rRNA from 1 species
GACAGAGGGUGCAAACGUUGUUCGGAAUUACUGGGCGUAAAGCGCGUGUAGGUGGCGUGGCAAGUCGGGUGUGAAAGCCCUGGGCUCAACCCAGGAAGUGCAUUCGAUACUGCCAAGCUAGAGUCCCGGAGAGGAUGGUGGAACUCUCGGUGUAGAGGUGAAAUUCGUAGAUAUCGAGAAGAACACCGGUGGCGAAGGCGGCCAUCUGGACGGUGACUGACACUGAGACGCGAAAGCGUGGGGAGCAAACAGG